AAAGAAAGAAAAAAAAAAAGGAGAACAGAGCUCGCAGAGGAACUUGCCGCCGCCGGUACCUAGCCGCUCGUGCCACCCAGCUAGGCAUGUUCGCCGCCGUCGGUGCAGCGAGUCCAGCGGCCGGGAGGGUGUUGUGGCUACUCGGAUCUGGCAGGCCCGAGCUUCUAACCUCUGAAUUUGGCGAAAAAAAAAAGGUGAGUAGGAGAUGGAUUUGAGGUAGCUGUCCGUGGCGGCGAGGGUGUCCGCGCAGCGACGAGCUCAAGCCGGCGAGGAAGGUGGUGCCGCUGGCGACGGCGACGAGCUCAAGCCAAGCUCAUGCUUCGACAUCUCUGUGCAGGUAGAUCUGGCAGUGGCGAGCUCAUGCCCUCCGGAUCCGCCGGCGGAGAGCUCUUGGCGACCCCUUGCUGAAGAAGAGAGGGAGGAGCAGGACUUGCAGCUAGCCUGAUCUGGCCGACGGAGAUGGAGAUGGUCGUCGCUGGUGGCCAUGACCGACGAUAGC
rnacentral:sRNA from 1 species